AUGGAUGAUCUGCGGCCAGCAGUGGGUGUUUCCACCCUGGAGCACAACAGCCCUAGCAGCGAACCAGCUGGAGGAGCCAGACACAGAGAGGGGCUGUUUGCGGGGUGGGGAGGGGGGUUCGCUACGUCGGAUGACGAUUCGAGGGCCAGCACCAGCUCCUCCUCAUCUUCGUCCCCCAGUCAGCAAACCGAGAAAGAAACAAACACCCCCAAGAAGAAGGAGCGUAAAGUCAGCCUGAGCAAAAACUCCAGACUCCUCUCUACCAGCGCCAAGAGGAUUCAGAAGGAACUGGCAGACAUCACUUUAGACCCUCCGCCUAACUGCAGUGCUGGUCCCAAAGGUGAUAACGUCUAUGAAUGGAGAUCAACCAUUCUGGGGCCUCCAGGACCCGUGUAUGAGGGUGCUGUAUCCUUCCUUGAUAUCACUUUUACACCAGAAUACCCCCUCAAGCCUCCAAAGGUUACAUUUCAGCCAAGAAUCUAUCGCUGUAAUAUUAACAGUCAAGGAGUUAUUGGCUUGGACAUAUUAAAAGAUAAUUGGAGUCCAGCACUAACCAUUUCUAAAGUUCUUUCUGUCUGCUUCCUUCUUACAGACUGUAAUCCUGCUGACACUUUGGUGGGAAGUAUUGCCACUCAGUAUAUGACCAACAGAGCAGAACAUGACAGAAUGGCCAGAGAGUGGACCAAGAGAUACACUACAUAAAUUGGGU